AGCAUGUGGUUUAAUUCGAAGCAACGUCGAAGAACCUUACCAGGUCUUGACAUCCCGAUGCUAUUUCUAGAGAUAGAAAGUUACUUCGGUACAUCGGUGACAGGUGGUGCAUGGUUGUCGUCAGCUCGUGUCGUGAGAUGUCGGGUUAAGUCCCGCAACGAGCGCAACCCCUAUUGUUAGUUGCCAUCAUUCAGUUGGGCACUCUAGCGAGACUGCCGGUAAUAAACCGGAGGAAGGUGGGGAUGACGUCAAAUCAUCAUGCCCCUUAUGACCUGGGCUACACACGUGCUACAAUGGUUGGUACAACGAGUUGCGAGUCGGUGACGGCGAGCUAAUCUCUUAAAGCCAAUCUCAGUUCGGAUUGUAGGCUGCAACUCGCCUACAUGAAGUCGGAAUCGCUAGUAAUCGCGGAUCAGCAUGCCGCGGUGAAUACGUUCCCAGGCCUU
rnacentral:rRNA from 1 species